rnacentral:lncRNA from 1 species
AGCCUCACUGCCGCCUUGCAGUUUGAUCUCAGACUGCUGUGCUAGCAAUCAGCGAGACUCCCUGGGUGUAGAACCCUCCGAGCCAGUCUUGAGAAAGGUCCUGCAAUUGGUCCAUCAGCACCUUAAAUAUACAGAUGAAGAUGCUGCUGAAGCAAAGACAUAAUGAUAUGCUCAAGUUCAUUUUCAGAGUUCUUCGAGGAGCCUUCUGAUUAAGGUCUGUGUAACUGUAAAGGCUAUGCUUGAAACUACUGCACUCUUCUGCCUCUUUGAUCCAACAAAUAAAAAACACGGUUCACUCUACACUUAUUCUAACUUUAAUUUGAUAUGUAUUUAUUGGUUGCAAAAAUACCAAGUUCAUCAGUGUAUCUAGGGUCAAUAUUAAGAAAAUUUAUUUUCCAUUAUAUGUGACCACCCAUCAAAAUUGUACUAUAAUGGGCAAAAUUCUCUUUGUUUAGGUUUCCAGAUUAUUUGAAAUAUUUUUGAACAGAAAUUGCAGAGAAAUGUAUGAUGUUUGCAAAAUACAGAAAGUUGGAGUUGAAAAGAAGAAGAAAAUUGAUUUUUUAUUUUUUGCAAAA